GAGAGUUUUUAUUUUUAUAUUGGUAAUAAAAGAGAUUUUCAGUCGUUCACGGUCGCCACCCAACCUACCUAGUUCCUACUCCUCUGCAACAGGAAUGGCUGCGCCGGCCCCUGGCGAGGAAAAGACCCUCCAAGAUGAACUCUCGCUCCCAAUUCUGUUCGCCGAACGGGUCAUCAAGUUGGCCCAGGAAGCCGAGUCGUCCAAGCAGGACUGCGCCGAGCUGGUCAAGCAAGUGGACCGCCUCGCCCAGAUGCUCCGCUCCACGGUCCGACACGCCUCCGCAACGCAAACGCUCUACGAGAGGCCCGUGCGGCGGAUCGUUGCUGACGUGGCGAAGAACCUGGACCGAGCCAUAACCCUGGUCCGCAAGUGCAAGCACAGCGGCGUCCUCCGCCAGGUCUUCUCCAUCACCACCACCGCUGACUUCCGCAAGGUCUCGAGCCUCCUGGAGUCCUCCAUCGGCGACAUGAAGUGGCUGCUUUCGAUCUUCGACUCGGACGGCACCGGCCUCUCCCUACCCCCAAUCGCCAGCAACGACCCCAUCCUCGCCUGGGUCUGGUCCUACACCGCCACCAUCCAGAUGGGCCAGCCCAAGGACCGCGCCGAGGCCGCCAACUCGCUCGCCUCUUUAGCGAGCGACAACGACCGCAACAAGAAGAUGAUCGUCGAGGAGGGAGGGAUUGGACCGCUGCUCAAGCUUCUCAAGGAGGGCUCCUCCGCCGAGGCCCAAAUCGCUGCCGCCACUGCUCUCUGCAACAUCGCCACCGACCGGGAGAGGGUGCGCUUCGUCGUGGAGUCGCACGGAGUUCCGGUGAUCGUUCAGGUGCUUGGGGACUCUCCGGCCAGGGUUCAGACCUCGGUGGCGAAGCUGGUGGCCCUGAUGGCCGAGAUGGACCCCGAAGCGAAGGAGGAGUUCGCGCGAGAGAACGCGACGAGGCCGCUUGUGUCGACGCUGGCCAUGGACACGGUUAUGGACGAUCCGAAGCCUCAGUCCGGUAAGACCAGCAUUCAUUCCCUUGUUCAGAUUAACAAAGAGCUAGCUAAGAGUGACAGCGUAGCACGAAACUAUCAUAACAUUAGUGGGUCGUUGGGUCAUUCGCAUUCCGAUGGGAGUAGCAGAGGUGGUGGCCAUUAUAAUAGAAAGGAGAGGGAGUGGGAGUCGGAGACACCUGAGGUAAAGCUUGAGGUCAAGGUCAGUUGCGCAGAGGCGCUAUGGAAAUUGUCCAAAGAGAGUUUGGGAAAUAGUAGGAAAAUUGCAGAGACAAAAGGGUUGCUUUGCUUAGCCAAGAUUGUUGAGGUUGAGAGAGAAGAAUUGCAACUCAAUUGUUUGAUGACGGUGAUGGAGAUAGCUGCCGUGGCAGAAUCCAAUCCCGACCUUAGGCGAGCUGCUUUUAAGCCUAGUUCGCCGCCUGCAAAGGCGGUGUUGGAUCAGCUAUUGAGGGUAAUUCAAGAAGGGAGUAGUCCGACAUUGCAAAUUCCUGCAAUUAAAGCAAUUGGGUGUUUGGCGCGGACUUUCCCUGCGAGGGAGUCACGUAUAAUUGGUCCUUUGGUUGUGCAGCUUGGUGGUAAGAAUGUGGAGGUGGCAAUGGAGACUGCUGUUGCACUGGGGAAAUUUGUGUGCCCGGAGAAUUUCAAUUGCCUGGAGCAUUCGAAGGCGAUUUUAGAGUUUGAUGGGGUUUCACCGCUAAUGAAGCUGUUGCGGAACAAUGACCGGGCUCAAAUGCCCGGACUCGUUUUGUUGUGUUAUCUUGCGCUGAACGUUGGCAAUAGCAAGGCCCUCGAGCAAGCACGGGCACUGUAUGUUCUCGAGGGUGCAGCCCGUUCUGUUGUAGCUCAAUAUCCUGGUUUGAGGGAACUGUUUGCCAAGGCCAUACACCACCUCACUCUUUAUCAGGCUGGAGCUCAUCCCCACAGGCAGCCUUAUGCACCCUAAAGCCACUUUGUUGGCUGCUAGAACUAUUCCUCCAUGUGAUUGUUGAUGAAGAAGAAAAGCUCGAGUACACAAAAAAUAUACAAGAGAAGUACAUAAUACACAAUUAUUUGCAUUUCUUUAACGUUUUUAGCAAUUAUGGUCACUUUAUGUGGUUAAUUUCCCUACAGUUGUGUCAAGACAAUUAUAUCUUUCCUUGGUAACAAUAAUAUCAUUUGGGGUUGGGCAAGAAAUUAACCCGCGAUGUUUAAUCAGUUUCACCUGCACUGACCAGGUUGAGGAAAACUGAUUUGAUAAACUACGAGUCAUGCCUUCUCCUGAUCUAUGUCAGAGUUCAAAGUUAUCUAGCCGAUCUCUUGCCAUAGAGUGGUGUGAAGAAGGUGAAAUGCAAAACAAGUGACAUAAGCGCCAUAUAUAUGCAUUGUAUGUAGGCAUGCAGUUCAGUAGGUUUCGUUCCAUACAUUUAAGGCCUUGGUGAUUCUCAAAAUUCUGUAAUCUGUUGUAUGAACUAUGCCACUCUUUAAUGAUAUAUAUAUAUAUA